rnacentral:lncRNA from 1 species
CCAUCAUCUGUUAAGGUGGAAAUGGACAGAGAAGAUUAUUAGUAGUCAAGUCAUGCUUCAACACCAAAUUCAAUUCUAGCUAAACACUUUCUGCAGGUGACGUUCUUCCAUCUGUUUAUUUUCUUAAUAAUAAUAAAUAUUUCUUGCCCUGUUUUCUUUUAAAUUUUCUGAUAAUAUGAAUAAGGGAAUCUAAACAUGUUCAAGUGUAAUCAUAGGGACUUUUUCUCGUCCAAGUUAUGUGCCUCAGUCACAUAAGUGGCCUCCAAUUUGUGGUUAAGAUUAUUAGUAUUCUAUGUGGUAUUGAUUAUCUCUUGGCAUGUGAACAUAUGCAUAACUCUUUUAGGUGCUAUUUUCUAAGUUUAGUUUAAUAAGCCCUAAUAAAAUGAUGACGGUCACCAAGAAUUACAUAAUGAUGUUCUUUCAAGUAAAGGUGGAGCCGAGACAUGCAGUUUAGAGAAAGAAAUAGAACGAAACAAGCCUUACUUUCCAGAGUGCAGUAUCCAAGUUGUCAUCUUUGAACUAAGCCAUUUUCUUAUAAUUUCCUUUUCCUUUUGUUUCAAGUGAUGUAUUGAACUCUGCUAUUGUGCUUUAUGUUCCUCCAUAUAGUGCUUUUUCCUGGACACUAUGAUUAUCUCUAGUUUGCAUCUAAAACAGAUGAUUUAGAGAAAUAGAAUAAUACCUCUAAAAGCAGUCACAAUAUUCUUCUUGACUGAAGAUGGUGAAUCUUCAACAUAGAAUAUAGCAUUAAGCACUGAGACAGGACUUAGUUGUUCAACUGUUGCUAUUGCAAGUUCAUUUGUUGGUGUGUCUUCAGUAAGCCUCAAUGUGUCACCCUGGACCGUGUCAAAGUCAACGACAGUAAGUGUUCAUACAUAGAAAAACAGAUGUAAAAAUGGGAAGUUGCUUACUCUUUCUUUAUUGUCCUCUUGCCUCUUAGCAUCAAUCUGGAAGGAACAAUUUGUGCUUUCCAAACUGUUGUUGAUUUCCGAUAGAACAGAAACUGCACGAGCAUGCUCACUUAAUUUUUUUUUGUAACUGCUGAUUUCAGUUAGAUCAUCAGUUUGUUGCAUAUUGCUAGGUUUUGCUUUCUGAUUCCUUUUUGAAGACCCCGGUUCCUUAAUUUGCUUAAUUGAUUGCCUUUUAACCUUGCUGGUUUCUGAUGAUUGAAUGGUCUGACAAGCUUGUUUGUCCAUGCACUGUUGCUUCUGCUGUAGUUUUGGACUUAAAGUUCCAUAAUUCUUUCCUAGUACAGGACUGGAAGUUCCUUUCCUUUGUUGACAAGAGGUUGUUUGCACUGCCUUUAAUGUUCUUCCUUUAGCCUUCUUAUCUGGGGAAGGAAGAUAACGGCCAGAGCACGUGACAUUGUACGUUCCAGGUGUCAUACCUUUGGAUGUUUGCUUGUCAACUGUGCCAUCUUUGUUAUGUGCAAGCCCUUGAGUGUAAACUUCUUGAAAUUUG